GACAGAGGGUGCAAACGUUGUUCGGAAUUACUGGGCGUAAAGCGUGUGUAGGCGGUCCUGUAAGUCGGGUGUGAAAGCCCAGGGCUCAACCCUGGAAGUGCACUCGAAACUGCGGGGCUAGAGUACCGGAGAGGUUGGUGGAAUUCUCGGUGUAGAGGUGAAAUUCGUAGAUAUCGAGAGGAACACCGGUGGCGAAGGCGGCCAACUGGACGGAUACUGACGCUGAGACACGAAAGCGUGGGGAGCAAACAGG
rnacentral:rRNA from 1 species